ACUCAGCAGCUACACUAGAAGGAUAGAACAAGGAAAGCAUGGGACUGAAGAGUAAGAGUGUACCUGAGGCUCUGAACUGUGAAGUGGGUGUUGGCAGGAGUCCCUGAACAGGGCAGUCAGGUCAGAGUGUGCUCAAGGUUGAAGGAGACAAUGGACACGUUGCUAAAGACUGGGGGCAGGCACACCACUGAAACAUAUAGACAUAUAGAGAGAGAGGGAGGGAGACGCAGACAAAAAAAAUAUAAAAUGAUAAGACAGUCACAGAACAGGACAGCCAGAGAGACAGGUAUUAAACAGGACACCAGCCAGAAAGACAGGUAUUAAACAGGACACCAGCCAGAAAGACAGGUAUUAAACAGGACACCAGCCAGAGACAGGUAUUAAACAGGACACCGGCCAGAAAGACCGGUAUUAAACAGGACACCAGCCAGAGAGACAGGUAUUAAACAGGACACCAGCCAGAGACAGGUAUUAAACAGGACACCAGCCAGAGAGACAGGUAUUAAACAGGACACCAGCCAGAGAGAGAUAUUAUAGUAGAGCAAAAUAUUAGUACCAGAGAUACACAAAUCAAACAUGUCAAGAUACUGUAGGUAACGGAAGCUGCUCUUUCCAUGACACACUGACCAAGUGAAUCCAGAUUAAAGCUAUGAUCCCUUAUUGAUGUCACUUGUUAAAUCCACUUCAACCAGUGUAGAUGAAGGGGAGGAGAGGGGUUAAAGAAGGAUUUAUAAGCCUUGGGACAUACAUUGUGUGUGCCAUUCAGAUGGUGAAUGGGCAAGACAAAAUAUUUAAGUGUCUUUGAAUGGGGUAUGGUAGUAGGUGUCAGGCGCACCGGUUUGAGUGUCAAGAACUGCAUCGCUGCUGGGUUUUUCACGCUCAACAGUUUCUUGUGUGUAUCAAGAAUGGUCCACCACCACAUCCAGCCAACUUGACACAACUGUUGGAAGCAUUGGAGUCAACAUGGGCCAGCAUCCCUGUGGAACGCUUUCGACACUAUGUGGAGGCCAUGGCCCGACGAAUUGACUGAUCUGAGGGGUGCAACUCAAUAUUAGGAAGGUGUUCCUAAUGUUUUGUACACUCAGUGUAUUUCUUUGCUGUCCAUUUUGAUGUAAUAUUUUGAAGUGUUUGCUGUAUUAGUUGUGUUUCUGUGGUUUGAAGGAUAUCUGUCAGGAACAUGAAACUUAUAAUGUUGUACUGAAUAGUUUCUUAACUGUGUUUAUAACAAACAAUGAAACAAAAUGUUCAGAUGGUAGAAAAAUGUUUUAUUACAUACAACAUUAAGGAUUUAAAAAAGAUUUAUAAAAAAUUAAUUGGCGUGAACAAAUAUGACAUUUAUUUUACCGAUAAACGUUGAUUGCAAAAUUUGUAUAAUACACACUUCAAAAGGACUACUUUUUCCUGAAUAUAUAACAGAUUAAAUGUUUCUUACAAUAUAGCAAAAAGCAAGUAAACAAGUACUACUACGAUGAUCGCAUAAACACUAAAAAGUAUGUUGACCUUCUGAAUAAGUACAGAAUACUGUAUUGUAUAGCUUGACCAGUGAUGACCUUGACGUUUGCCCGUUAGCAUUAGUACUACUGGCUAAUGCGGUCUGUGAACAUCGAUAAUAUAACCCCAAAGUACUUGUAGACCGAAUGUAACUUUUGAUAAUGGCUCUCACAUUCAAGUUAGCAACUUGAGAACUCCGCUGAGGUAAUAUGUACUUUACAUUGCUAACACACUAAAACGACAUGCACAGCACACUUAUUUAAAAUGACACACAGGGAGCAAAACCUCUUCUCAAUUCUCCAAAAGUCUAAAGACAUUUUCUGCUUUCCACACAUUUUGCAUUCAAAAUGACACUUUUUUAAAUGCACUACACACG
ensembl:lncRNA